GAUGCCAGACCUUCUGGCCCCAGGAGUGCAGCUGGUCUGCUGCACCUGUGACAUUGGGUCAGAGAGGAAGUGGCUAUUUCUAUGCUCAGUGCUCAGAACAGUGGGCACUAAGAAUGGUUUGUAGCUGGACACAG
ensembl:snoRNA